GCGGUCGUAGUCUAGUUUGGUAGGACAUCAGCCUGCCACGCUGACAACCCGGGUUCGAAUCCCGGCGGCCGCACCA
rnacentral:tRNA from 1 species